rnacentral:rRNA from 1 species
AGUGAACGCUGGCGGCAGGCCUAACACAUGCAAGUCGAACGGCAGCACAGUGGAGCUUGCUCCAUGGGUGGCGAGUGGCGGACGGGUGAGGAAUACAUCGGAAUCUGCCCAGUCGUGGGGGAUAACAUAGGGAAACUUAUGCUAAUACCGCAUACGACCUACGGGGGAAAGCGGGGGAUCGCAAGACCUCGCGCGAUUGAAUGAGCCGAUGUCGGCUUAGCUAGUUGGCGGGGUAAAGGCCCACCAAGGCGACGAUCCGUAGCUGGUCUGAGAGGAUGAUCAGCCACACUGGAACUGAGACACGGUCCAGACUCCUACGGGAGGCAGCAGUGGGGAAUAUUGGACAAUGGGCGCAAGCCUGAUCCAGCCAUACCGCGUGGGUGAAGAAGGCCUUCGGGUUGUAAAGCCCUUUUGUUGGGAAAGAAAUCCAUCUGGUUAAUACCCGGGUGGGAUGACGGUACCCAAAGAAUAAGCACCGGCUAACUUCGUGCCAGCCGCCGCUGUAA